rnacentral:lncRNA from 1 species
GCUCUCACCGGACUUCCUGAUGAGUUCUACGAUACGGAGUGGGAUCUGAUCAUGGUCGACGCUCCUAAAGGCUACUUCGCCGAAGCUCCGGGAAGAAUGGCGGCGAUUUACUCGGCGGCGGUUAUGGCUAGGAACAGGAAGAAACCUGGAGUCACUCACGUGUUCUUGCACGAUGUUAACCGGAGGGUGGAGAAGACUUUCGCCAACGAGUUUUUAUGCCGGAAGUAUUAGGAACAGGAAGAAGCCUGGAGUCACUCACGUGUUCUUGCACGAUGUUAACAGGAGGGUGGAGAAGACUUUCGCCAACGAGUUUUUAUGCCGGAAGUACAGAGUUCAUGCCGCCGGGAGGUUGUGGCAUUUCGCGAUUC